UACGUAGGUGGCAAGCGUUGUCCGGAUUUAUUGGGCGUAAAGCGAGCGCAGGUGGUUUAUUAAGUCUGGUGUAAAAGGCAGUGGCUCAACCAUUGUAUGCAUUGGAAACUGGUAGACUUGAGUGCAGGAGAGGAGAGUGGAAUUCCAUGUGUAGCGGUGAAAUGCGUAGAUAUAUGGAGGAACACCGGUGGCGAAAGCGGCUCUCUGGCCUGUAACUGACACUGAAGCUCGAAAGCGUGGGGAGCAAACAGG
rnacentral:rRNA from 1 species